rnacentral:tRNA from 1 species
GCGGGGUUGCCCUAGCCUGGUAGGGGGCAGGCCUGCUAAGCCUGUGGUCCUUCGGGCCGCGCGGGUUCAAAUCCCGCACCCCGCGCCA